UACGGAGGGGGCUAGCGUUGUUCGGAAUUACUGGGCGUAAAGCGCGCGUAGGCGGCUUUGUAAGUCAGAGGUGAAAGCCUGGAGCUCAACUCCAGAACUGCCUUUGAGACUGCAUCGCUAGAAUUGUGGAGAGGUAAGUGGAAUUCCGAGUGUAGAGGUGAAAUUCGUAGAUAUUCGGAAGAACACCAGUGGCGAAGGCGACUUACUGGACACAUAUUGACGCUGAGGUGCGAAAGCGUGGGGAGCAAACAGG
rnacentral:rRNA from 1 species